rnacentral:rRNA from 1 species
UACAGAGGGUGCAAGCGUUAAUCGGAGUUACUGGGCGUAAAGGGCGCGUAGGCGGUUUAGUAAGUGAGAUGUGAAAGCCCUGGGCUUAACCUAGGAACUGCAUCUUAUACUGUUAGACUAGAGUAUUGUAGAGGGUAGUGGAAUUUCCGGUGUAGCGGUGAAAUGCGUAGAGAUCGGAAGGAACACCAGUGGCGAAGGCGGCUACCUGGACAAAUACUGACGCUGAGGCGCGAGAGCGUGGGGAGCAAACAGG